rnacentral:rRNA from 1 species
UGGAUUUUGCAGGAGGGCGCACGACCGGGCUUUGCUCAGGCCGCGCGCCUACCUGUUUUUUGUCGGGGACUACGCCACUCUUAACUGGGGGGCGCUAGGACGCGGCUCGUUUACUUUGAAAAAAUUAGAGUGUUCAAAGCAGGCCUUUGCUUGAAUACAUUAGCAUGGAAUAAUGGAAUAGGACUUUGGUUCUAUUUUGUUGGUUUCUGGAACCGAAGUAAUGAUUAAUAGGGAUAGUUGGGGGCGUUUAUAUUUCCAUGUCAGAGGUGAAAUUCUUGGAUUUUGGAAAGAUAAACUUCUGCGAAAGCAUUCGCCAAGGAUGUUUUCAUUAAUCAAGAACGAAAGUUAGGGGAUCGAAGACGAUCAGAUACCGUCGUAGUCUUAACCAUAAACUAUGCCGACUAGGGAUCAGUGGACGUUAUUUUAUGACUCCAUUGGCACCUUGUGAGAAAUCAAAGUUUUUGGGUUCCGGGGGGAGUAUGGUCGCAAGGCUGAAACUUAAAGGAAUUGACGGAAGG